rnacentral:rRNA from 2 species
GAUGAACGCUGGCGGUAUGCUUAACACAUGCAAGUCGAACGGUCUCUUAGGAGAUAGUGGCGGACGGGUGAGUAACGCGUGAGAAUCUGGCUCUAGGUCUGGGACAACCACUGGAAACGGUGGCUAAUACCGGGUGUGCCGAAAGGUGAAAGGUUAACUGCCUGGAGAUGAGCUCGCGUCUGAUUAGCUAGUUGGUAGGGUAAAGGCUUACCAAGGCGACGAUCAGUAGCUGGUCUGAGAGGACGAUCAGCCACACUGGGACUGAGACAC